rnacentral:rRNA from 1 species
UUUUAUGGAGAGUUUGAUCCUGGCUCAGGAUGAACGCUGGCGGCGUGCCUAAUACAUGCAAGUCGAGCGAACGGACGAGAAGCUUGCUUCUCUGAUGUUAGCGGCGGACGGGUGAGUAACACGUGGAUAACCUACCUAUAAGACUGGGAUAACUUCGGGAAACCGGAGCUAAUACCGGAUAAUAUUUUGAACCGCAUGGUUCAAAAGUGAAAGACGGUCUUGCUGUCACUUAUAGAUGGAUCCGCGCUGCAUUAGCUAGUUGGUAAGGUAACGGCUUACCAAGGCAACGAUGCAUAGCCGACCUGAGAGGGUGAUCGGCCACACUGGAACUGAGACACGGUCCAGACUCCUACGGGAGGCAGCAGUAGGGAAUCUUCCGCAAUGGGCGAAAGCCUGACGGAGCAACGCCGCGUGAGUGAUGAAGGUCUUCGGAUCGUAAAACUCUGUUAUUAGGGAAGAACAUAUGUGUAAGUAACUGUGCACAUCUUGACGGUACCUAAUCAGAAAGCCACGGCUAACUACGUGCCAGCAGCCGCGGUAAUACGUAGGUGGCAAGCGUUAUCCGGAAUUAUUGGGCGUAAAGCGCGCGUAGGCGGUUUUUUAAGUCUGAUGUGAAAGCCCACGGCUCAACCGUGGAGGGUCAUUGGAAACUGGAAAACUUGAGUGCAGAAGAGGAAAGUGGAAUUCCAUGUGUAGCGGUGAAAUGCGCAGAGAUAUGGAGGAACACCAGUGGCGAAGGCGACUUUCUGGUCUGUAACUGACGCUGAUGUGCGAAAGCGUGGGGAUCAAACAGGAUUAGAUACCCUGGUAGUCCACGCCGUAAACGAUGAGUGCUAAGUGUUAGGGGGUUUCCGCCCCUUAGUGCUGCAGCUAACGCAUUAAGCACUCCGCCUGGGGAGUACGACCGCAAGGUUGAAACUCAAAGGAAUUGACGGGGACCCGCACAAGCGGUGGAGCAUGUGGUUUAAUUCGAAGCAACGCGAAGAACCUUACCAAAUCUUGACAUCCUUUGACAACUCUAGAGAUAGAGCUUUCCCCUUCGGGGGACAAAGUGACAGGUGGUGCAUGGUUGUCGUCAGCUCGUGUCGUGAGAUGUUGGGUUAAGUCCCGCAACGAGCGCAACCCUUAAGCUUAGUUGCCAUCAUUAAGUUGGGCACUCUAAGUUGACUGCCGGUGACAAACCGGAGGAAGGUGGGGAUGACGUCAAAUCAUCAUGCCCCUUAUGAUUUGGGCUACACACGUGCUACAAUGGACAAUACAAAGGGCAGCGAAACCGCGAGGUCAAGCAAAUCCCAUAAAGUUGUUCUCAGUUCGGAUUGUAGUCUGCAACUCGACUAUAUGAAGCUGGAAUCGCUAGUAAUCGUAGAUCAGCAUGCUACGGUGAAUACGUUCCCGGGUCUUGUACACACCGCCCGUCACACCACGAGAGUUUGUAACACCCGAAGCCGGUGGAGUAACCUUUUAGGAGCUAGCCGUCGAAGGUGGGA